CAUUUCGAGUCAUUCCAGUAAGUUCUUGGAACACUACGAAAUGUGGAAGGUAUCGACUAUUCUAAUCUUCGCAAUUCUUGUUGCGGUGUUCAUCUUCGCGACCGAGGCUAUCUCGUCGGCGGAUUACAUUGGUGACAUUGAGGACAAUAUAGCCAAGCGCGAAUUGUUUGAUCAAGGAAGUAAAUACGACCCGCCUCCGAUUACGGACUGAAUUCCAUCAGGUAAAAUGUGCGGCUUUCAUGGAAUCUGACUGUACGAUGUGAAUAUUCAGUACAGCGUUAUAAAUAAAUCUAAUAUCAAGCAA